CGAAGAAGGGUGAUCGAAAAGUAAUAUGCUUUCUCACUGACUACAGCAGGGGGGCUGAUAUGGCUUACUUAAUUGACUAAUCUGUGCCCCCAGGUCCUUCUGUCCUUCACAUUCCAGGUAACUGAGCAGCCUCAUGAAACCAGAUUGAAGAUGAUUACCAAAUAAAGUGAAAAUUCUUCAAGCUGGGCUCUCCAGUGAGAAAUGAAGCUCUGGAUACUUUCUGGCUAGAUGGUAUCAGAAGUGGGAUCCGAAGUAGAGUUUCUAGCAAUCCCCAGAAGCACUGAGUGACAAAGCAUGGUACCAGUCAGACUCACGGUGUCUGUUCCUCUCUUGCAGCAACUGGGGAUUGUGGGACAUUGCUGAAGAAAUCUCCAGUGACAGAGGUACUUGCCUCACUGGACUAGCUAUAAAACAGUUAAAUAAGGUACUACUUAAUACAAGAGCAUUAGGCAAAACUAACUGAAUAAUCCGGAUUGCCUUGGUCAAAGAUGUUUCAGAUUGAUGACGAUCAGAUCCACUUCCAGUGAAAAACCAAAGUUGACCCCUUAUGAAAUAGUCACUGGAAGGCUUAUGCUCCUAAUAAUAGAACCCCCUGUAUCUUCUGCUCCUAAACUUUAACAUGACUAAAUGCUGCAAGGCUUUAAUGCAUUAUGCCAAAGUGUACUUUUAGCAGGUAAAGAAAGCUUUUCACAGACCACUGACUGAGGACAAGCAAACCCUUCAUGAUCUAGAAUUGAGAGGCUGGAUCUUUUGGAAACACAUCAGAGAAAGACCCCCCUUGUCACCCACACUGCAGCAAAACUUCAGGACCUUGAAGCUUGGGUUUGUAAUCUCACAGCUUAGAAAGGCCCAACCAGACUCUUGGAACCAUACACCCAUCAGAGGGAGAACUUAAGGUAAAGCUAAUGAGGGAAGUUUCUCUCGAGAAGCAGAUGGCCUCCUAGAUGUGGACAGAUUUCCCGAGAUCGUGCAUCAAGACUUCUCUGCUGUCAUGAGGCUUUUAGCUCUCAAUUGUUUCCAAGUUCAUGCCUGUUAUGAACAACUGAACUGAAAAAGGGGUCUCUUGUAUAUACUCAUAGCGUAUACUUUUAUUUGUGAAGGAUAAAAAAAAACCUCAUACUGGCCGGGUGUGGUGGCUCACGCCUGUAAUCCCAGCAGUUUGGGAGGCCAGGGCAGGCAGAUCACGA